rnacentral:rRNA from 1 species
CCUACGGGCGGCAGCAGUCGAGAAUCAUUCACAAUGGGGGAAACCCUGAUGGUGCGACGCCGCGUGGGGGAAUGAAGGUCUUCGGAUUGUAAACCCCUGUCAUGUGGGAGCAAAUUAAAAAGAUAGUACCACAAGAGGAAGAGACGGCUAACUCUGUUCCAGCAGCCGCGGUAAUACAGAGGUCUCAAGCGUUGUUCGGAAUCACUGGGCGUAAAGCGUGCGUAGGCUGUUUCGUAAGUCGUGUGUGAAAGGCGAGGGCUCAACCCGCGGACGGCACAUGAUACUGCGAGACUAGAGUAAUGGAGGGGGAACCGGAAUGCUCGGUGUAGCAGUGAAAUGCGUAGAUAUCGAGAGGAACACUCGUGGCGAAGGCGGGUUCCUGGACAUUAACUGACGCUGAGGCACGAAGGCCAGGGGAGCGAAAGGGAUUAGAUACCCUUGUAGUC